rnacentral:misc_RNA from 1 species
GAUGAAGAACGCAGCGAAAUGCGAUACGUAAUGUGAAUUGCAGAAUUCAGUGAAUCAUCGAGUCUUUGAACGCACAUUGCGCCCCCUGGUAUUCCGGGGGGCAUGCCUGUCCGAGCGUCAUUGCUGCCCUCAAGCACGGCUUGUGUGUUGGGCCUCCGUCCUCCUCCCGGGGGACGGGCCCGAAAGGCAGCGGCGGCACCGCGUCCGGUCCUCGAGCGGAUGGGGCUUCGUCACCCGCUCUUGUAGGCCCGGCCGGCGCUUGCCGACACAUCAAUCUUUUUUCCAGGUUGACCUCGGAUCAGGUAGGGAUACCCGCUGAACUUAAGCAUAUCAAUAAGCGGAGGA